rnacentral:rRNA from 1 species
CCUACGGGGGGCAGCAGUAGAGAAUCUUGCACAAUGAGCGAAAGCUUGAUGCAGCCACGCCGCGUGAGGGACGAAGGCCCUAGGGUCGUAAACCUCUUUCAGUUGGGAAGAAGCGAAAGUGACGGUACCAACAGAAGAAGCUCCGGCUAACUACGUGCCAGCAGCCGCGGUAAUACGUAGGGAGCAAGCGUUGUCCGGAAUCAUUGGGCGUAAAGAGCGUGUAGGCGGUCCAGUAAGUCGGAUGUGAAAUCCAAGGGCUUAACCCUUGAACUGCACCCGAUACUGUUGGACUUGAGGUAGGUAGAGGAGAGUGGAAUUUCUGGUGUAGCGGUGGAAUGCGCAGAUAUCAGAAGGAACACCGAUGGCGAAGGCAGCUCUCUGGGCCUUACCUGACGCUGAGACGCGAAAGCAUGGGUAGCAAACAGGAUUAGAUACCCU